rnacentral:rRNA from 1 species
GACGAACGCUGGCGGCGUGCUUAACACAUGCAAGUCGAACGAUGAAGCCUAGCUUGCUUGGUGGAUUAGUGGCGAACGGGUGAGUAAUACGUGAGUAACCUACCUUUAACUCUGGGAUAAGCCUGGGAAACUGGGUCUAAUACCGGAUACGACCAAUCUCAGCAUGGGGUGUUGGUGGAAAGCGUUAUGUAGUGGUUAUAGAUGGGCUCACGGCCUAUCAGCUUGUUGGUGAGGUAACGGCUCACCAAGGCGACGACGGGUAGCCGGCCUGAGAGGGUGACCGGCCACACUGGGACUGAGACACGGCCCAGACUCCUACGGGAGGCAGCAGUGGGGAAUAUUGCACAAUGGGCGCAAGCCUGAUGCAGCGACGCCGCGUGAGGGAUGACGGCCUUCGGGUUGUAAACCUCUGUUAGCAGGGAAGAAGAGAAAUUGACGGUACCUGCAGAGAAAGCGCCGGCUAACUACGUG